GGUGAUGGUAGCACAGUGCUAGAGUGCAUGCUUUGUAUGUAUGAUGUCCUGGGUUCAAAUAACCCCAACCUAACCU